rnacentral:misc_RNA from 1 species
GAACGCACAUUGCGCCUCCUGGUAUUCCGGGAGGCAUGCCUGUUCGAGCGUCAUUAAAUACCACUCAAGCUCUUCUGCUUGGUCAUGGAAGAAGAGUAUGCUUGCAUCCUCUCUUCUGAAAUUGAAUGGCGGACCGCCUCAUGUGCCUCGCGUAGUAAGUUCAUCUUUUCGCUGGCAGCGUGAGACAGUCUCGCCAUCAACCCCCAUACUUCUAAGGUUGACCUCGGAUCAGGUAGGGAUACCCGCUGAACUUAAG